CCUACGGGCGGCAGCAGUGAGGAAUAUUGGUCAAUGGGCGUAAGCCUGAACCAGCCAAGUCGCGUGAGGGAUGAAGGUUCUAUGGAUCGUAAACCUCUUUUAUAAGGGAAUAAAGUGUGGGACGUGUCCUAUUUUGUAUGUACCUUAUGAAUAAGGAUCGGCUAACUCCGUGCCAGCAGCCGCGGUAAUACGGAGGAUCCGAGCGUUAUCCGGAUUUAUUGGGUUUAAAGGGUGCGUAGGUGGCCUUUUAAGUCAGCUGUGAAAGUCUGUGGCUCAACCAUAAAAUUGCCGUUGAAACUGGGGGGCUUGAGUAUGGUUGAGGCAGGCGGAAUGCGUGGUGUAGCGGUGAAAUGCUUAGAUAUCACGCAGAACCCCGAUUGCGAAGGCAGCCUGCCAAGCCGUGACUGACGCUGAUGCACGAAAGCGUGGGGAUCAAACAGGAUUAGAUACCCCAGUAGUC
rnacentral:rRNA from 1 species